CCCUUAGAUGUCCUGGGCUGCACGCGCGCUACACUGACGUACGCAACGAGUGUCCUUUACCGAGAGGUAUGGGUAAUCAUUUGAGUGUACGUCGUGAUGGGGAUAGAAUAUUGUAAUUAUUACUCUUCAACGAGGAAUUCCUAGUAAGCGCAAGUCAGCAGCUUGCGCUGAUUACGUCCCUGCCCUUUGUACACACCGCCCGUCGCUCCUACCGAUGGGUGAUCCGGUGAAUGAUUCGGACUGAUGCAGCGCUCAGCUUCUGAAUGUUGCGUUGGAAAGUCUAGUGAACCUUAUCACUUAGAGGAAGGAGAAGUCGUAACA
rnacentral:rRNA from 1 species